GUCUAUGGCCAUACCACCCUGAACACUCCCGAUCUUGUUUGAUCUUAGAAGCUAAGCAGGGUUGGGCAUGGUUAGUAUACUUGGAUGGGAGACCAUUACAUCAUCAUUGUCAAUAUUGGUA
rnacentral:rRNA from 1 species